GGGAAUGCCCAUAAUUUCUGAAAGAGUUGUUAAGAAAGGGGAUCAAGUAUGAGGAGGACCCUGCCAAGAGGCGCAAGAAGAAUUAAAGUUGCAAACGGUGUAGAAGCUGAAGUCGAAGCCAUUGCAGAAUUUCACUUAGAAUUACAUAGUGGCUUUGUACUUUGUUUGAGAGAUGUUCUUUAUGUACCGUCUUUGCAACGAAACUUAAUAAGUGUGUCUAAAUUAGAUGAUGACGCUAUUGCUUGUCAUUUUGGUGAUGGCAAGUGUAAGAUACAAGUUAAUUCAGAAUGUGUUGGUCUUGCCUUC